rnacentral:rRNA from 1 species
CAUGGGGGGUUGCACCUGAUGCACACCCGCGUGCGGGAUGACGGCCUUCGGGUUGUAAACCGUUUCAGUAGGGAAGAACGAAAGUGACGGUACCUGAGCUGAAGUACCGGCUAACUACGUGCCAGCAGCCGCGGUAAUACGUAAGGUACAAGCGUUGUCCGGAAUUAUUGGGCGUAAAGAGCUCUUAGGUUGGUUGGUCACGUCUGCUGUGGAAACGCAACGCUUAACGUUGCGCGGGCAGUGGGUACGGGCUGACUAGAGUGCAGUAGGGGAGUCUGGAAUUCCUGGUGUAGCGGUGAAAUGCGCAGAUAUCAGGAGGAACACCGGUGGCGAAGGCGGGACUCUGGGCUGUAACUGACACUGAGGAGCGAAAGCAUGGGGAGCGAACAGGAUUAGAUACCCUGGUAGUCCAUGCCGUAAACGUUGGGCACUAGGUGUGGGGGGCAUUCCACGUUCUCCGCGCCGUAGCUAACGCAUUAAGUGCCCCGCCUGGGGAGUACGGUCGCAAGGCUAAAACUCAAAGGAAUUGACGGGGGCCCGCACAAGCGGCGGAGCAUGCGGAUUAAUUCGAUGCAACGCGAAGAACCUUACCAAGGCUUGACAUACACCGGACCGUUCUGGAAACAGUUCUUCUCUUUGGAGCUGGUGUACAGGUGGUGCAUGGUUGUCGUCAGCUCGUGUCGUGAGAUGUUGGGUUAAGUCCCGCAACGAGCGCAACCCUCGUUCUAUGUUGCCAGCACGUGAUGGUGGGAACUCAUAGGAGACUGCCGGGGUCAACUCGGAGGAAGGUGGGGAUGACGUCAAAUCAUCAUGCCCUUUAUGUCUUGGGCUUCACGCAUGCUACAAUGGCUGGUACAGAGAGAGGCGAACCCGUGAGGGUGAGCGAAUCCCUUAAAGCCGGUCUCAGUUCGGAUCGUAGUCU